rnacentral:lncRNA from 1 species
AAAACCCAGGUGAGUUUCCAUGCAGCAUUAGGACUAGUUUAAUAGGAUGAUGGCUACGCCCUCAGGCCUGCCUUGUCCUCUGGUCUCCUCUGCACUUUGCCACUGCAGUCACCAGCUCUCAGGGGUGUCCUUAGGAUUGGAUUUCCCAGGAAGCAAAUUAAGCUCAUCCUUAGAGUGCCAAUAAAGCUGGGGCAAAGUCAAAUAGAACAUAGGGAAACAGUUUAGUUUAUUUGUUCUCAAAUAUCAUCCUUAGGAGAAAGAAUUAAAUUUUAUUGGACUUCUUUAAAAUUAUUUACACAAGGAGGGGCAUGAGUGGGUAGCUGGCCAUACAGUUUUCAACACGUUCCAGGGCUCUAAAGGUGUCUGUCUGGUACUGGUCAUCUUUUAAGGUCAGCUAGUUUCAGGUCUCUAGUUUUUACUGAGCGUGAGGCCAUUCAUCUUUUUCUCCUACCAUAAUGUCGUAGUGCUCGAAGCAGAGUAGAUACUCAAUCUGUGUUUUUAAACAACCAGGGGAAUAUACAAAUGUAUGAAAACAGAACUGUAAGUCUCACAUCCACAAUUUUGGUAUCUAAAGACUGAACACCUGGACAUCAGAAAUACCACCCCACCCUUUCUCCAUCCUGCCCCAAAGCCUUUAACCAACCAUCUGAAGAGUUGUCAUUUUCCCAAAUGACCUAGAAGAGGGAGAAAACACAGCUUCUCUUUUGUCCUUUCUUUAAAUCAUCCAAGAGAGAAGGGGCAAUCAUUCCCUCUGCUGUAAAAACACCGAGAGCUGCUUCAGUUAUAUUGCCACAAAAAGAAAGCAACAACUCAGGAAAAUAACAAUUUCAAAAAUUGUUUUUGACAUUUAGAGUUACCUUCUGAUAAUCAAAUAAUGUUGAACUUCAACAUGACUACAAUAGACAUUGUGUCCCCACCCUAAGCAAAACCAGCAAAUCUUGAACCCAAUUACAAAAGAAGAAAUAAAACUUUUAGAAGAAAUUUGGAACAUUCUGUUUAGACCCAUCAGUUUUACUGGUGAUACAAUGAUCUCUUCUUUACUGAUUAAGAAAAAAAUUAUGAAUCAUAGGAAAAAAAUAAAUGAUCUUCUAGUAGUACUUUUCUUUCUUUUUUUCUUUCUUUUUUUUGUCAUGCUGGGGAUGGAACCUAGGGCUUCACUCAUGCUAGGCAAGUGCUCUGACACUGGGUUACACCCUCAGCUCUUAGUAGCAAAAGAAAAAAGUAUGAUACUACAAGCCCUUAGGAAUCACUACCACCAAAUUUAAUUUAAAAGACAAUUUCACAUUGCAGAUGUGGGUUUUUAAGAGUAACCUAAGCAAAUAGUUAGCAUUUACCACUCGUUUCCUCCUUGGCUUGUCUUAGUUGUAUAGUAAGAUUUUACUGACUUUACAUUUUUUGUUUUGGUUUAGAUUUUGAUUUGGCUUUGGUGCUACAGAUUGAAUCCAGGGCCUCAAGUAUGCUAAGUACAUACUCUACCUCAAGCAAGAAUUUUUUUUUUUUCUUUCUGUUGAAAGAAGAUAGAAGAGAAAGACAACAGGGUUGCAACACUGAAAGAUAUUCUGUGUUGCAAAAAUACCUACCACCCCUGGGCUAACUACAGUGGACCACAGCCCAUGACAAUCAGAAGCUUAGCAGAACACAGAACACUGUUCUUGCAACGAGAUUGGGGGUGGAGGAAUGAGGAAGAGUGGAGAAAAAACAUCUUGCCUUUCUUCACUGACUUGGGGGAGGGGUGCCAAUGUAUUUAUAUUUAAGAAAGUAGACUCAGCAUUCAAUCUCAUUGCAUUUAUUUUUUGUGACAUUUUCCAGAUAACAUUCUUCACUAGGACAGAUUGGAAAACUCACAUUGGAUGAAGGUCCAAGGCUUGUUUAUUUUUUUCAGAUUCUUAAAAUUUCAUUACUCCCUAAAAAGGACUCUAAUGGUAGACUGCUUGCCUAGCAUAUGCUGGGCCUUGGGUUUGAUUCCCAGCACUGCAAAACAUAAAAUUAUAAAGCAGCAUAUGAUUUCCAUGUGGGCUAGUGAGGCCUAAACUAGCCCAGCUUGAGGUUCAUUAAAAAUAAUAACAAUUUUUAAAAAGCUUCUGGAAACUUGUUUAGAAGUAAGAAUUGGGCAGCCAGCCUUAAAUCUCAAAAAAUUCCGAGACAUUCAAUAUUCCUUCUUGCCACUGCAGGGUAGAAAUGUGUGACGCAUUUCCUUACUCAUCCUAAGGGUCACAGCUGACACUCAGCUCUAACAAAAGACAGGCCACACAAGAAAAGCAUAAUGAAUUUGUUUAAUAAAGCCUUAUGCAGGAUGGAGGCUUCAGAAAUGAAGACCUAAAGAUCCUGGGAGCACUGUUUUUAUGCUUAGGGUUGAGGAAGAAUGAGGGCUGUGUGGAAAUGUGAUGGGACAAAGGAUAUGACCGAAUGGAAAUGGACAGAGGGGGAAAUGAGGCAAGGCUCAUCUGUCCAGAUUCUUCCUGGGCUCUGUGCAGCAUUCCUUCCUGCUGGAUAUAUAGGACAGGACAGGAUGCCCUCUGGAAUGAGUCUUUAGGAGAGAAGGUAGAAGGGAGAGAGUGACUUUCCUAGGUUUUAUGGCUUGCUCUGGAGCAGAGAGGUUUAGUUUUAAUGACUUGCCAUGGGAAAGAGAAAUUCUGGUUUCUAUCAAUUGCUUCAGGGAAGAAGGAGGGCAAGAGAUAGGAAGGCAAGACAAAGUCAGAGAGACCUUGCUCCUGAGGCUUUCCAGAUUCUUUCAGUUCAAAGUACUUGGGAUGCUUUAGGAUUUCACGUUCUGAACCCUAAUGCCUGGUUAUUUGGCUAUUCCAAGCUAAAGAGCUGGAAGGUCUAGACAAGGGGAGAUACUCAAGGACUGGGGGCAAAGCAGGCACAUGGUCAAUGGCAUUUUGGAACCAUUGGUCUGGGGUCAGUGCGGAGCCUGCAUUCUAGAAGGUAAAACUGACAUCAUGGAGGCCUGAAGGAGCAAUUUCAUAGCAAGUGAGGGUUGCAGAGGGCCUGAGGCCAGAUGGAAGGCAGGGGGAUGGAAUAACAGAAAAUCACAGUAGGUAAAAUUGGAAGUUCUAAGGAAUCAGGUGGAGGGGUGAAAUGGGAAAUGAAUCACAUAAUGAAUCAUUAGGUAGGCGCACACACAUUAUAUUGUAUUUAAAUACCUUGAUUGUUUCCAACUUUGCUGACUAAAAAUCUAUUAGUUUAGCAGAGGUUAAAAUCUCCUUCAUUCCUAUAGGUAUGAGUCUUAGGAGUCAUAUUUCCUUUCAUGAUACCUGAAUAUAAAAAUUGAGUGACUCACUUGACUAAAACCCUGCUUCAUGUUCUUCCUGGCCAGAAGUGUGCUGAGAGGCUUGUUCCUGGACUUGGCAGAUAAAGUGGGAAGGGAUAUCCUGGUGCUGACUUAUUCAGAGAGGCAUUUGCGCCAUCUAUUACCAUUCACACGUAUCAUUGGAUAGAAAAGUCAGUAUCAGCACAAUAAAUGCUAUGUUAUUUUGGGAGGCUAGUGUGUAAAUAAUAACCACUUCAUAUCUAGGUCACUAAAUCAAAAAGAUAUGAGGCCCCAUUUCUGUCCUGGAAGAGCUGACGACCUUGGAGGCAAGACAAACCACGAAGCCUGGAUCUUAUGAAGCAAGAGGUCUUCACAUUCUAGGCCACUUCCUGUGUGGAUCUUUGAUAGUCCUUUUAAUAAAUAACUUUGAUUAUUGAGUACCCAGUAUGUGCUGUGCACAAAUAAGUUCAUUUUGAUGAAUGUAUCUAUAUAUAGCUUUACCAAUUGACACAGAAAAAAAUCAGUUUUUAUUAUGAUAAAGAUCAAGAAAUUGAGCCCAGAGAAGUUAAGUAACUUACCUGUGAUAUUGUGAAACACGUAUUUACUAUUUACCCUAUUUCCUGGUAUCCUGAAGUCCUCAGAAUCUCCAGAAUGAUAAGUAUGUUUUUGUGUGAAUUAAUAAGAUGACUGGUGGCCAAUAGCCUCUAGGUAGCUUUAGGAUAGGAUCUGGUCACAAGAUAGACCAAGGCAUGAUCAGCAAGUUGGAAUCUUUUAGUUCUCCCCACCCAGCCCAAUUUCUAGGAAGGGGAGAGAGUCUUAAGGUUGAGUUGAUCACCAAACAGUCAAUAAUUUAGCCAAUUAUGCCUAUGUAAUGAAGCUUGAAUUAAAAAAAAAAAAAGACUGGAUCUAGACAGCUUCCAGAUAGCUGAAUAUCUGAAUAGUGGUGUGCCCCAGGGAAAGCACAGAAGCUCCAUACUCCUGCCCACAUGCCCCUGCCCACAUACCUUGCCCUAUGCAUCUCUUUAUUGUUCCUCAGUGUCCUUUGGAAUACCCUUUAUAAUAGGCUAAUAAACAUAAGUCUUUCCUUGAGUGCUAUGAAUCAUCCUAGGAAAUGAAUCAAACUCAAGGAGGGGUCCAUGGGAGUCCCAAGUGAUAGCUGAUGAGUCAACAGCACAAGCCAUGCCUGCACCUACAACUGGCCUCUGAAAUGGAGAGAGAGCCUGUGGGAUCAAGCCCUCAACCUGUGGGAUCCAAUGCUACUGUUAUGUAGACAGUAUCAGAACUGGACUGGUUAAGGGGACAUGCAGCUGGUAUCUGCUGCAGAAUCUGGUGCCAGGAUUGAUUGACUGCUUGAAGUACGGAGAAAGAGCCCCACACAACUGCCUUAAGUGUUGUGAUGACUUGUGUAUUGAGCAGCCAGUGCCCAGCGGCCCUAAGUGGGUAAUUUAGGAAAGGGGAAAUUUGAGCCAGGCCUACCUGACAUCAAAGCCCAUGCUUUUCCACUACUCUCAAAUACAAAAUGGUGGUCACAGCUUCAACCUCAUGGGUCUGCCCUGAGGACAGAGUGAGCAUCAGGACAGAGAGCCUGGAAAUGAAGAAGCGAUGUGCUAGUCAUGUUUUCUCCCUCUGCUGUCACACCUCAGACCCCCCUCAGAAUAUGUGUCUGAUUUUAGAUUUUCCAGAGUGUCUUGGGCAUCCCUCUUCUCCACAGUAGUAUAUCUCACCUGCCUGCCUCCCCAGUGGGGCAAGGUAAAGACAUGAAAUUUUGCCAUUAUGGAGUUCAGAUAACUCUAGUGUUGGGGCCCAGACAAAGGCAUGAGAAUUCAGGAUCCCAUGGGAUGGCAUUAAAGUACCUUUGGAGUCGUAGUCUAAGCCAUCCACACAAGAGGAAAAUAAUGCAGUAAUCAUUUAGGGAACAACUGAAUUCUAUCAAAAAAGAGGUUCUAGGUUUGGGGAUUUACCCAUUUUAUCAUUUACCUUAUCUAGCUGCAUUAAAGGGAUCCAUCAGGUCAUCUGUAAUUAGAAUAAAAUCAACCCACAGACUUCAUGUUCCAGUCGCUGAUUAUUUUGUUCAUUCAUUUACCAAAUAAACUUUGAGCAGGUGCUGCACAUCAGGCCUGUGUGAGGCAGGAGGGAUACAAUGGUAACAAGCAUGUUUCCUGCUCUGAAGACACCCAUCCCAUUCAUUCUGAUAAAGGAGAAAGACAAAAAAGAAAACCCAUCUGGACAUAAACCCCAACUAAACAUACAAGUAGGUAAAUGGCUGCAUGUUGUUCUAUAGGCUUCAAAGGAAACCAUCAAGGGCUGACAUUUGAACUCUACCUUCAGGUGGGCAGGAAAGGCCCCCCCAUGAAGGAGAGACCCAAAGAAGAGGCCCAAAGGACAGACCCAAAGGAGACCCAAAGGAGAGACUCAAAGGAAGAGCAAGUGCUGGCUGCAAGUGUGUGGGGGAGAGCAUCUGGAUAGAGGGCAAAACCCAGCAUGAGCUCAGCAGAUUAAAGGAACUGAGAGGGGACUCCUUUGCCUUGCCCGAUGAGCAAUAAGCAUUUUCUUCUUCUUUCUUUCUUUUCAAAAUUAUUGGUUCUUUUCAGUUAUCCAUGACAGUAGAAUCCAUUUUGACAUAAUUAUACAAGCAUGGAGUAUAUAUUGUUCUAAUUCAGUUCCCAGUACCUCGCCUUCCCCUUCUCUCCCCCACCCUCAGCUUCCUUCCCUCUACUGACCUUUCUGCCAUAUACCCAUAAUUAUUUUUUAAAAAUUAAUUUUUUUUGUGGAUGUGCAUGAUGGCGAGGUUCACUGUGGUAUAUUCAUGUAUAUAGGAAAGUUAUGUCAGAUUUAUUCUGCUGUCUUUCCUUUUCCUAGUCCCACUCCCUUCCCAUUAUUUCCCUUUGUCUACUUUACUGAACUUCUAUUCUUUUUUUUUUUGUCCCCGACCCCGCUUAUUGUGGGUUAGCGUUCCAUGUUAGAGAAAACAUUUGACCUUUGGAUUUGGGGAAUUGGCUAAUUUCACUUAGCAAUAAGCAUUUUCUUUCUUUUUUAAGAAUAUUGUUUUAGUUCUAGAUAGAAACAAUAUCUUUAUUUUUAUUGGUUUUUAUGUGGUGCUGAGGAUCGAACCCAGGACCUCACACAUGUGAGGCAAACGCUCUUCCACUGAGCCACAACUCCAGCCCAGGAAUAAGCAUUUUCUAAUGGACAAUGUAAAGAGCCCAGGAAUGGAGGAAGUCAAGUAUCUUUACAGGCCUGUUCUGGAAAGAGCUUUAUUUUUAAGGAGACAGACUGGCAGUGCUUGUGUGUGCGUACAUGUAUGUGUGAAUUUAUGCCAAGACAAUCGCUAGGCAUUUGUUUCUUUCUAUAAUUAAAGAAUGUGACACGAUUACAACUUAGCUGGAGUUACUCCUUUCUUUGAAAAUAGACUGGCAGCAAGCUUUGGGACUGAGAAUAGGUAGACUUUGUGGCUGAUGACUGAAGCCCUGAGAAAAACAAGGGUACAGUUAUGUGUGACGUAUGUAGUGGCACCCACUCCUCCACAGAAAAUCUGAAUUAAGCUUCUCCAGAGACCCUCAUCAUAACUGUUCUUAGACAGUCAGCAAGAAUUUCUGAAAAAGUUUUCAGGCGGGAGGUGUGUUGCAGAAGCAGGAUGUGAUAAGAAAGGCUAACCUGAGGCCUCCAUAGAGGCUUGAAUUCCAGGCCUGGGCUCAAAGCCCAGAACAGUGAAAAAAGCUGCUUUUGUGUAGACUUCUGUAGAUGGUGAGCCUCUGAGCCCCUCCUCCUACACACUGGGUAAAAAGUUCUGAAACUUUCUAAAGUCGGGGUUCAGGGGAUUGAUCCACUGUGGUGAAAGCCUUUUCCCCCUCUGGACCU